rnacentral:lncRNA from 1 species
CCGGAUCUGAUUUUUACUAAUACAAGCCAUUAAUAUAGAUUUAUAAAAAGUAUACUAAGAUAUCUUGUAUGUGAAAGUAACCACAAGAUAAUAAGAAAGAGAUUCGGGUAAGCUGGAAGUCCAUCCGCCACUACCUCGAUCUCCACAGCGUCCAACCAGUAAGACAUAUCUACAAACUGCUAUGCGGUCCAAUACCUACACAGAGUGCAGAAAAAUAAGAAAAAGAAAAGAAAAUAAGGUGAGUACGAAAUCCAGGUAUACUCAGUAAGUAUCGUCGAUAACCGACCCUAAUCCAUUAAAACGGCGAGAACCUUCACGCUGGCUACCCAAGGUAUUCAAAUAAUCUAUAACCCGCCAAAACAUAAUACUUCAUCCUACCAGGAAAACCCAAAACAAUAGUCAACAACCAUAAUCAGAAUAAAGUAGACACUAUAACCUUGGUGAGUCAACACUAGCCACCUCAUGAUCCAUAAUUAGAGAGAAACACUUAUAUAGAAGACUUACUACACAACAUAUAGAUUUCAGAAUUAAUCACAUGAUAUCAACCAAUAAUUAUGGGGUCAAAUAAGGAGAGAUUAUAUAAAGAUUCAAUAACAUGCCAUCGAAGGUACAAUCCAAUGGUCUCUCAGAUUAUGCCAUAACCUUACUCCAAGUCUCAUAAUAUCUCAACUUUUAAUCCAUAUAAGAUAAUGUAAAGUAAUAUAAUGAUCUAAGAGGGACCCCCAAUAUCUCAACUAUAAUCCAUGAUUAAGACUCCAGUAGCCGUCGGAUGCUCACCAUGUCAUCUAAGCGGGACCCCCAAUAUAAACGAAUCACAAUAUACCAAUAAUCAAACAAAUAACGCAUAAAAACUUCGAAAAAAGAUCAAGGUACAUCUCAACUUGCCUUAACUGAAGAUUCAUAAAUCCAAAUAUUGCACAAAUCCCCAAUCAAAAGCUCAAAUCCUUUGAAACAUCUCUAAUCACGAUCAAACUAUCAAAUAUGAUAUCUACAUAUCAAAAGAGAGCCAACGAUAUCCAUAUUGACUAUAUUCAAGACGGGUCUAGAAACAGAUGGCAAAAAUAAGUUAAAAAAUGCAAAGUAUAAGACCGUAAUUGUAUUUUAGAAAUAUGUUUUUCAUACUCAUAGAAGUCUUCCGCUGAAAAUCUAUGCGAAAACAAGUUUAAAAUGAGGCUUACAUUAAAAAAAAUUAUUUUCAAGAUUUACUGAAAAAAUUUCUAAAAUUUAUUUUGAAAUCAAGAUUAAAAAACUACCCAUGGAAGAAAUCUCAAAAAUUCUUUUGAAAUCGCCCAAAUCCACGCUCACAAGCUCCAAAAAUAGUAAAAAUGAGAUUUUAAUUCUCAACUUGGGUAUAACAACAACAACAACAACCAAAAAUGAAGUUAUAUAUAAAAUGAUUAUACGAGAAAAAUGCAUUGAUAAUUAUCAAAAUCGGAGCUUUCUUGCUACAAAAAUAUCAAAAAUACGAAAUGUGCUUGGUUUUGGACAUAACCUCAGUGAUGGCUGCUAAAGCGGCCUAGUAAAAUGGUCAAAGUGCUACUAAAAUGGCCAAAAGGGUGCUUUAAAAGUCUGUCGAAUGGUCAACGAUCGAUAAAGCAGUUGACCAACCUCUUUAGUGCCUACACCUGUACCAGCAACCUUCAUAACAUUUAUUUUGACCCUCGGAACUCAUUUGGAACCCUGUGAACAUGAUUCAAUUGUGCAAAUUGAUUGUAAAACACGUUUUGGGUACAAUAGAAUCAUUAAAUUUAUGAAAACAAAGUCAUUAUCAUAAAUUGACCUCCGAAAACCUAUUUAUACUAUUUUGAACCAAGGGUAAAAAUGGGAUCUAAAGGCUACAAAACUGAACUAACUCCACUACUAACCCAAAUUCACAUUCUAGAUCUGUUGGCACAGUCCGUUUUAUCAUCCGACACUCGAAUCUCAAUUAACUAUUAGCUCUUAAAUCCUCACAAUGACCUCAAACUAACCUAAAACCUUUCUGAAGGCCUUGGGACUGUGCCAACCAUUUUUGUAACUCAUAAAUCAGAUGGCACAACCACGAAAAGAGGUAAAAUGGUCAAAAUAUAUAAAAGAAAAAAUCAUCCAAAUUCACGUCAUUACAUAUAACAUCAAGUACAAAAUUAUUCUCAUAGAAAUUGAAAAAGGUAUUGUUCGUCUGUGUUUCAAUUGUUAUGAUGUUUUUAAUUUCUUGAGAUGUAAGUUAUGUAAACUUUAGUUAGUAUUGAGAAGAAUUGCAAUUUUGUAAUAGUUUUCAAAUAAUUUUUUGAAUAUCUAUAUUUUAGUUUUAUAAUAUUGACUUACUUUAAUCCGACUUAGCUUUGCAAAAUUCAUUAAUCUGACUCUCAAUAAGUCAAAACAUCACCUAAUUUGGGAUGAAAGGUAUCCCUUUUAACUCAACGUGUUAAAUAGUAACAUGUAAGGAUUUUCAUAUAAGGGAUAUAAAAGUUUGAUUAUAUAUGUAGCUAAAUCCUAUUUUAUCUUUUAAAUGGAUAAAACAUUUCUUGCAACUCAAUUGUUAUUUUUUAUAUUUCCUCCGUCCCAAAUUACCCGUCCCAAAUUGAGAUAUCACAUUGAUUAAGAAAAAUAAUUAAUAACAUGGCUAGUUUACUAUAGAUCCCUAUUAAAUGAUGUUUACAUUUUAAUUUGAAGAAAAAGUAAUUAAUGCAAAGGGUAAAACAUGAAAUUUUUUUUUGUCUCUUCUUAAUUAAUGAAAAAAGACAAGUAAAAUAAAAAAUCAAAUUAGAAAAUUUGGGACGGAGGAAGUAUAUAAUUAUAUUUAUCAACACAAGACACACGUGCAAAGCAAGUUCAGUUGACUAGUUCAAAGAAAAACGUGCUUCUCCUAAAUUACAAAUGAGUGAAAGAUUAGAGAAUAAGUGAGUUUAGAAGAAGAAGAUGAAUCUCAAACAAAGAACUAAAUGUGUAGUGUAAAUCUAACUUGAAGCUAUUGCGAGUUAGACUUUUACUCUUUUAGACAUCCCAACAACAUUUGUUUGUAACUUAACAAUGGAUUUUGGAUUUUUAAAAUUUUAAAAAUUAUAUUAAAAUAAUGAGUAAAAGCAAAAUGUAUGUGAGCAAUGCCCUCAAAAUAGGAUUUAACUACAUAUAUAAUCAAAUUCUGAUAUCACUUAUAUGAAAAUCCUUACAUAUAUUUUCCUUUUACUCAUUAUUUUAAUAUAAUUUUUAAAAUUUAAAAAAUCCAAAAUCCAUUAUUAAGUUACAAACAAAUGUUGUUGGGAAGUCUAAAAGAGUAAAAGUCUAACCAUCAAUAGCUGCAAGUUAGAUUUACACUACACAUUUAGUUCUGUGUUUGAGAUCCAUCUUCUUUUUCUAAAUUCACUUAUUCUCUAAUCUUUUCACUCAUUUGUAAUUUAGGAGAAGUACAUUUUUCUUUUAACUAGUUAAGUGCAUGUACUUUGCACGUGUGUCUCGUAUUGAUAAAUAUAAUUAUAUAUAAAGAAAUAAAAUUAUCAAAAAAUAGCAAUUGUGUUGCAAUAAAUAUUUUAUUUAUUUAAAAGAUAUAAUUUGACACUAAAAGUAUUUCAUCUUAAUCAAUAAAACUAUUAAUAAAAUGAAAAAUUUAAUGAAUUAAAAAUUUUUUGCUCAUCAAAAGGAAAAGAUUUAGAGAAAAAUUAAGCUACAAAGGAGCAUUUGUUGUACAUAUAUAUCAUAUUAAAUUAAAAUAUAAGUAUUAUUAGUACUCUACGAUUCAAUUUAGGGUUGAGAUUAAUAUUCAUAAUAUAAAAUAUAAAAGAAAUGGAGAAAAAAAGUUAUAAAACUAAGAAAACACAAAUAAAAAAAACAAUUUGUAAGAAUAUAUCAUUAUCCUUCGUUUUAGUCCAACAUCACUCCUUUACCUUUCUAUAGUCAAUGAUCGUACAUGAACAAGCUUUUUACUUUCUUCAAUUACUCAAAAUCAAUAUUGUAUAUGUCUUUAAUAAAAGAACAUACAUAAUUAGAUGUAAAUAUUUAAUGAUACACUUACGGAAGUAUCAUGAUGUAUAUUAAAAGCUUUAACCUCAAUUUCUUUGUGACUAAUCAAUUGACCCACAUAUGAUCGAUCAAAAAAAUUAUUGUGUGAAUUAUUUCCUUUUAAAUAAUAAAUGUAGAUAGAUCAUAAAACUUUCGAAAAUAAUAAUCAUAUGCCAAUAAAAUUAAUAGAAAUUGAAGGUUCGAGUCACGUUGGAGGAUAAAUGAAAACUCUAUUGAUCCUCCUAGGAGAUGGGGUGUAAGAAAAAAAAAUAUUUUCAAACAACAUAUAUAAAAAACUCUCUCUAUUUGUGUUCUUAUGAAUCUUAGAAUUUGAAUUGAAAUUUUUAUCCUUACCGUAUUCUUCCGGGCGAGGUCAUAAGAAUCUCAACAAUUAAGGAUAGAAUCUAAAAAUAUGACAAAACACGCGCAAAAAAUUACAUAAUUAGGCAAUCAAACCAACAUUUAAAAGCAACGAACAACCAAUAGUUGAUAAAAAGAAUUUCAAAGUGCAAAGAAAAUAUAAAUACAAAUUAAAUAGAAAAGUAAAGAAACAAAGAUUCAUACAAUUACUCGGAUGCUAACAUUAAAAAAAAUAGAAUUUACUUAAUUUUUUUUUUAUAUUUUAAGUAAAAUUCUUUCCAAAAUAAUCUACCUAGUUUUGUUAAAUUAUUUUUAAAAAGGGACUCACAAAUUCGAUGAACAAAUAACUAUUAAAGUAGUAUUUUGCUAGUAUUAAAGUUCAUAUUUGGUUAGUUCCUCAAAGGUGAAUUAAUAAUUGAAAAUCAACAAAAUUUGUAAGAAAAAAAUGUGCGAAAAAUACCUAUAGUUAGACGAAAUUUUCAAUUACGCACCCUGAACUUUGUGGGGGUCCUAUGACCCCCCUAGAUUAUUUUUUACCGUAUUUAACUGGCAUAUAUUUUUCCCUUAUCAAAUAUUUUUUCCUUACGCGCUCAAUGUACGUGAAAUACACGCCGCAAAGUUCAGGAUGUGAACUGCAAAUUUCACUAAAGUAUAGAUAUUUUUCAUACUUUUUUCCUUAUUUUUAAUUAUGUUUAAAUAAGGAAGGUGAAUUAAUAAUUGAAAAUCAAUAGUAUUUUUAAUUAUAUUUAAAUAAGGAAAGAUAAUAACCAAAUUUUAAUGGGACACCUAAAGUAUUACAAAAUAAUUAAAUAAUAAUUUAGUAAAAUGGUAAAUGACAGUUUUGUCUAUUGUGAAGUCUUUUAAUGAAGACAAAAAAUUCAAAUCACUUUUCUAAAAAAUUUCACACUUUUAAUAUAUUAUAGAUAUACAUAUAGAUUAUCUACAAUCUAUAAUCUAUAUCUAUAUCUAUAAUAUAUUAAAAGUGUGAAGACCCUUAGAAAAGUUAUUUGAACUUUUUACCCUUCAUUAAAAGACUCUUCUUUAGACAAAACUGUCUUUUCAUUAUUUUUUUAAUUUAUUAUUUAAUUAUUUUUUAUUAUAUUAAUUAGACUUCUUAAAAUAUAUGAGACUCCUAAAAUAUAUAGUAGAAGAAUUAAUUAAUAUUUUCCUUUCUAUUAGACUUCCUAAAAUAUAUGGGACUCCUAAAAUAUAUGUUAGGAGAAUUAAUUAAUAUUUUUCUUUCUACUAUUCAAUUCGAAAAAUACUUCUAAAAUAAAACUCUAUUAAGGAAAUACUUCUAUAAAUAUUGAGAUGUACGUGAACAAACCGACUUGCCUAUUGGGAGAAUAUGAUUGAUGCUCAUCUAACUUAAUUUGAUUGUAUGUCUAGAUGGUGGAUGCUUCAUUUUCUAACCCUCAACUUCUUUACUAUUAUUGUCAGCAUAAUAGGAUUCAACAUGUGUGUAUUUCAAACUAAGGUCUCCAAAUAAGUAUUCAGGGGGUCACCAAGAUAAGUCUGCUCCAUCCAUAUCAAAUGUAUUUACAGCUCUUCAACAAGAUAUUAAGACCACAACUAGUUGUCCAGGCAAUAAUAAGGGUGGGUUCAUGUCAUUACCAUAACAACUAGAGGAUAAUAGAGUGCAAUAUGACCAAGUAAUAGCAGAAGACAGUGACAAGAACUUGUUACCUAAUCUUAAUAAGGAGAACCAGCUGGAUAGAUCUUAAGACAGUGCAUUGCCCGAUGAGGUGUGAAUCCUGUAGGGGUAUCAAACCCUAAGAAUAUGAUCUUUGAACAGAUACAAGAUUGGUUGCCUGCUUAGGAAAUGGAAAUUAGGGGUUAUGCUUCCGCUUUGUUACAUGAGGCCACCCAUAACUUUGAACAGGUGAUAGAGCAAUCUAAUGCCAAAGAAAGAGAACCCCAGAGGUUUCUCAAGGAUCUUGAUAAUGAGUAUAGAGUAAUAAACUCUAAAGACGAGACUGAUGAAAUCAACUUGAGUCAUUUAGAGAAGACUAAAGAAAUUGUGUAUGAUGUAUUUGACCCCGGUAAUCAAGAGAAAUCUGCAAAAGAAGCGACUCACUUGGCCAACCAACAUGGACUAUUUCCCAGGGGAUCUUUAAGAAGUUCAAGGAAAAGAACCAAGCAUACUGUAGCUAACUUGAAUGGGCACACAAC